GGCGCAGCGCGCGGCGUCAGUCUUGGCUGGCAGACUUUGUACUCUGUAUUCCGUACGCGGAACUCGCAGCGGCGCGAUCUUCGGCAGCCUAGUCAUCCACCGCCAUCCUGGGCCCCACGUGUUGCCUGACCAUUCCUGAGCCCAGGUGGGAGCCGUGGCUGAGGUGACGGUCUCAAAGUGGAAGAGCUUACUGUCACAGCAACUCUUUUGCAAGAUGCCCCGGUAAAUCACGUUGCAGAGACCCCAACUCUGCCUUCCUGGAACUAGGCCUGCGUUUUCUCUGAACCAUUAUUUCAUGGGGAAAAUGAAAUCUACUUCAUGUGCCUGGCCUACUUACUCCUUCAGAAAUGAUUUCUGAGCCGCCAGGAACAGUUGCUGAACACCCCAGGCCUGCUGAGGUCCCUCCUUGAGUCUCAUGUUCAAGCAGUCUUCACAGGGCACAAGAGUGCCUGCCAUCCCUCAGUGUUUCUACAGCAGCAAUCCCGAGAUGCCAGAGCUAGAGGGGACCUGACCUGAGAGAAGAUACCUUCAGUGGCUGCCAG
rnacentral:lncRNA from 1 species